rnacentral:rRNA from 1 species
UAGGGAAUCUUCGGCAAGUGGGGGCAACCCUGACCGAGCAACGCCGCGUGAGUGAAGAAGGUUUUCGGAUCGUAAAGCUCUGUUGUAAGAGAAGAACGUGUGUGAGAGUGGAAAGUUCACACAGUGACGGUAACUUACCAGAAAGGGACGGCUAACUACGUGCCAA